UCUCACAAGGUUGUAGCGUUUGUUUGAGUUCCUUCCUUCAAGCAUGUUACAAAAACUAAUUUUUUUUUCUUUAUGAUUACAUGUGAAUUCAUAAGUUAUAACCACAACCAAGCAUAAACCAAAGAGUAAAUCAAACUUUUAUCCAUGUUUAUAACUCUCUUUAACAGUCAUGCAAUUACAAACCGAAUCCUCAUCAUUGUGUUGGAAGGUACCCUAAGACACAAACAAACACACAAAAACAACUCUUUUUGGGUUUUUAAAACAAUUUUUUCAAAUUUUUAUGGGAUUUUCGGAUUUUUGAAUCAAAACACACUAAAACAGCUUAAAAACACUUAAAAACAGCAAGGAACAACAUUUAGAAGUUAUGAGUGAUAAACCCUACGAAUUUGCAUCAAAACACUUUGGUUACCCCCCCACACUUAAAUCAAACAUUGUCCUCAAUGUUUCAAGCAUAGAUGCACACAAAUAACAAACAAACAAACCAAACAACAUCUAAACAACCUAAUAUGGCAGAAACGAAAUAGCAACAAAGAGAAGGGUUUAGGAACGUAAAUCUGGAAUUGGAGUGCUUUCUCGGUCUUCCUUUGUUGAAUGCAUGGGUUGCCUCCCAAGUAGCGCUUUCUUUAACGUCUUGCAGCCGGACGAUGCUCCAUUGAAGGUUUAUGGAACCCCACGGCAUGGAGGGGUUUUUCCACAACCUGUCCUACGAAAUACUUCAUUCUUUGGGUCCUUGAAUGGGAUGGGAUAAUGAUCCUUUCUU
rnacentral:lncRNA from 1 species